UUCCUCGCAUCCCCCAGACCACCGGACGAGAUGAGGCGACUUUAGCCGAAGAAGCCGAGCUUCUCUCUGAGCCACUCCUCUGUGAGGUCCUCUGUGUUCCUGAUCUCAAACACCUGAAGAAGAGCAAAGAGCAGAUAUACCGGACUGCUGUGACGACCUCAUUUCCCUUCAGGGAUGAAUAAAGUCAUCUAUCUAUGACACAGACGUUACAGACGCAGAGGAGGCCGAGCUCAGCUCAGCAUGGAGUCACUUACCAUUGUCGGAGAGUUUGAAGCUGCAGCUGCU